rnacentral:rRNA from 1 species
ACGUCGUGAGACAGUUCGGUCCCUAUCUGCUGUGGGCGUUUGGAGAUUUGAGGGAAGCUGAUUCUAGUACGAGAGGACCGAAUUGGACGAACCUCUGGUGUUCCGGUUGUCACGCCAGUGGCAUUGCCGGGUAGCUAUGUUCGGAAAGGAUAACCGCUGAAAGCAUAUAAGCGGGAAGCCUCUCCCAAGAUUAAAUCUCCCAGAGACUUUAUGUCUCCUAAAGAGUCGUCAUAGACUAUGACGUUGAUAGGCAAGAUGUGUAAGCGCUGCGAGGCGUUGAGCUAACUUGUACUAAUAACUCGUGAGGCUUGAUCAU